rnacentral:tRNA from 1 species
GUGUACUUAGCUCAAUGGUUAUAGCAUCACUCAUGAAUGCUGAGUAUGUGAGUUUGACUCUCACAGUACACG